rnacentral:rRNA from 1 species
UACGGGGGGGGCAAGCGUUGUUCGGAAUUACUGGGCGUAAAGGGCUCGUAGGCGCCAACUAAGUCAGACGUGAAAUCCCUCGGCUUAACCGGGGAACUGCGUCUGAUACUGGAUGGCUUGAGGUUGGGAGAGGGAUGCGGAAUUCCAGGUGUAGCGGUGAAAUGCGUAGAUAUCUGGAGGAACACCGGUGGCGAAGGCGGCAUCCUGGACCAAUUCUGACGCUGAGGAGCGAAAGCCAGGGGAGCAAACGGGG